rnacentral:tRNA from 1 species
CGGGGUGUAGCGUAGCCCGGUUAGCGCGCCUGCUUUGGGAGCAGGAAGUCGCAGGUUCAAAUCCUGCCACCCCGACCA